CUAAAAGGACACGUGGCUCGGUGAUCUGAUGCGUCACUUUGGUGAACUAGUACCUUAGAGAAUGCACAUGGGUCCAGUAUUCGAGAAUGGCAUCUAAAAGGGCACGUGGCUCGAUGACUUGAUGUACAACUUUGGUGAAGAGGUCGCCUUAUAGAAUGCACGUGGGCCCAAGGUUUAAGGCACGUGGCUUGGAGACUUGGUAUGUCGUCUUGGAGAAUGCACGUGGCCUAACUUCUAGAUAUUCCACCGUGGGGAUUGAAUCGAGUGACAUGUAAUCAAUUGGUUCGAUUUGUUUAAGUAAGUGGGUGCCUAUUAUGAUAGGUGGAAUCUGAGACCAAGAACUUCCUAAGACGUAGUCCCAUCCCGGUUGUGGGACGACAUUUCAAGCCCGUAGAUGAGCCUGAGGAGGAGGAGGAGCUAGAAGAUGAUGAUGAGCCAGGAAAAGAUGAAGAGCACGAAGGAAAUGAGCUUAGUGAAGAUGAGUCAAAAGAGGAUCAGGAUGAUCCUGAAUAUGACCCAGAUGAGAAUUGAAAUCUCAUCUCUUUUAUGAACCCUAUGUAUAUGUGUAGAUAGAGUGAGACUUUGAAGUUUGUGAAUAGUUUGUGAAGUACUCUAUCUAAUGCCAUGUAUAAAGUUUUGGUUGUAGACUUCAAUAUGAAAAAUAUGACAUGUUUUUCUAUCC